UUGAACGCUGGCGGCAUGCUUUACACCUGCAGGUCGAACGGCAGCACGGGCUUCGGCCUGGUGGCGAGUGGCGAACGGGUGAGUAAUAUAUCGGAACGUACCCAGAAGUGGGGGAUAACGUAGCGAAAGUUACGCUAAUACCGCAUACGAUCUAUGGAUGAAAGCAGGGGACCGCAAGGCCUUGUGCUCCUGGAGCGGCCGAUAUCUGAUUAGCUAGUUGGUGAGGUAAAGGCUCACCAAGGCGACGAUCAGUAGCUGGUCUGAGAGGACGACCAGCCACACUGGAACUGAGACACGGUCCAGACUCCUACGGGAGGCAGCAGUGGGGAAUUUUGGACAAUGGGCGCAAGCCUGAUCCAGCAAUGCCGCGUGAGUGAAGAAGGCCUUCGGGUUGUAAAGCUCUUUUGUCAGGGAAGAAACGGUAGAGGCUAAUAUCCUUUGCUAAUGACGGUACCUGAAGAAUAAGCACCGGCUAACUACGUG
rnacentral:rRNA from 1 species